GUAGGGGGCGAGCGUUGUCCGGAUUUAUUGGGCGUAAAGAGCUCGUAGGCGGUUGCGUAAGUCGGAUGUGAAAACUCAGGGCUCAACCCUGAGAUGCCAUUCGAUACUGCGCUGACUCGAGUCCGGUAGGGGAGCAUGGAAUUCCUGGUGUAGCGGUGAAAUGCGCAGAUAUCAGGAGGAACACCAGUGGCGAAGGCGGUGCUCUGGGCCGGUACUGACGCUGAGGAGCGAAAGCAUGGGUAGCAAACAGGAUUAGAUACCCUGGUAGUCCCAUGCCCGUAAACGUUGGGCACUAGGUGUGGGGCCUACUUAACGGGUUUCCGUGCCGUAGCUAACGCAUUAAGUGCCCCCCGCCUGGGGAGUACGGCCGCAAGGCUA
rnacentral:rRNA from 1 species